GACGAACGCUGGCGGCGUGCUUAACACAUGCAAGUCGAACGGUGAAGCUCGUGCGUGCGCUCGUGGAGCAGUGGCGAAAGUAUGAGUAACACGAGAUUAACCUGCCCAUCACUCUGGGAUAAGCACUGGAAACGGUUUCUAGUACUUGAUACGACCAACCCUGGCAGGGGGUGUUGGGGGUUUGCUUUAUCGGUGAUGGAUGGACUCGCGGCCUAUCAGCUUGUUGGCGGGGUAAUGGCCUACCAAGGCGACGACGGGUAGCCGGCCUGAGAGGGUGACCGGCCACACUGGGACUGAGACACGGCCCAGACUCCUACGGGAGGCAGCAGUGGGGAAUAUUGCACAAUGGGCGAAAGCCUGAUGCAGCGACGCCGCGUGAGGGAUGACGGCCUUCGGGUUGUAAACCUCUUUCAGCAGGGAAGAAGCGAAAGUGACGGUACCUGCAGAAGAAGCACCGGCUAACUACGUG
rnacentral:rRNA from 1 species